rnacentral:tRNA from 1 species
GGGAAUGUGGCUUAGUGGUAGAGUGCUUGCCUAGCAUGCAUGAAGCCCUGAGUUCCAUUCCUCAGCACCA